rnacentral:lncRNA from 1 species
AGGCAAGGAAAGCCUCAAGUAGUUCCUCAAAGUGACCCCGAAGCCAGAGCAUUGCAAGAAUGCAUAUUACUUGUGCGACUCCUCGCCUUGGUUCUCUGGUUGAUGGGUGAGAGGCAAAUUGCCCGCGAAUUGUUGCAGAUCCUGGAGGAGUACGACUAAUCGGUCGUGUGACAGCAAAUAUUUUUUGUUCGAUGCAAUAAACCGUGUGCUUCUCAAAAGAA